AGUGAACGCUGGCGGUAGGCCUAACACAUGCAAGUCGAACGGCAGCACAGUAAGAGCUUGCUCUUACGGGUGGCGAGUGGCGGACGGGUGAGGAAUACAUCGGAAUCUACUUUUUCGUGGGGGAUAACGUAGGGAAACUUACGCUAAUACCGCAUACGACCUACGGGUGAAAGCAGGGGAUCUUCGGACCUUGCGCGAUUGAAUGAGCCGAUGUCGGAUUAGCUAGUUGGCGGGGUAAAGGCCCACCAAGGCGACGAUCCGUAGCUGGUCUGAGAGGCUGAUCAGCCACACUGGAACUGGGCCACGGUCCAGACUCCUACGGGAGGCAGCAGUGGGGAAUAUUGGACAAUGGGCGCAAGCCUGAUCCAGCCAUACCGCGUGGGUGAAGAAGGCCUUCGGGUUGUAAAGCCCUUUUGUUGGGAAAGAAAAGCAGCAGGUUAAUACCCCGCUGUUCUGACGGUACCCAAAGAAUAAGCACCGGCUAACUUCGUG
rnacentral:rRNA from 1 species